CCGCAAUGGGCGAAAGCUUGACGGAGCAACGCCGCGUGAGUGAUGAAGGUCUCCGGAUCGUAAAACUCUGUUAUUAGGGAAGAACAAAUGUGUAAGUAACUAUGCACGUCUUGACGGUACCUAAUCAGAAAGCCACGGCUAACUACGUGCCAGCAGCCGCGGUAAUACGUAGGUGGCAAGCGUUAUCCGGAAUUAUUGGGCGUAAAGCGCGCGUAGGCGGUUUUUUAAGUCUGAUGUGGAAGCCCACGGCUCAACCGUGGAGGGUCAUUGGAAACUGGAAAACUUGAGUGCAGAAGAGGAAAGUGGAAUUCCAUGUGUAGCGGUGAAAUGCGCAGAGAUAUGGAGGAACACCAGUGGCGAAGGCGACUUUCUGGUCUGUAACUGACGCUGAUGUGCGAAAGCGUGGGGAUCAAACAGGAUUAGAUACCCUGGUAGUCCACGCCGUAAACGAUGAGUGCUAAGUGUUAGGGGGUUUCCGCCCCUUAGUGCUGCAGCUAACGCAUUAAGCACUCCGCCUGGGGAGUACGACCGCAAGGUUGAAACUCAAAGGAAUUGACGGGGACCCGCACAAGCGGUGGAGCAUGUGAUUUAAUUCGAAGCAACGCGAAGAACCUUACCAAAUCUUGACAUCCUCUGAUCCCUCUAGAGAUAGAGGUUUCCCCUUCGGGGGACAGAGUGACAGGUGGUGCAUGGUUGUCGUCAGCUCGUGUCGUGAGAUGUUGGGUUAAGUCCCGCAACGAGCGCAACCCUUAAGCUUAGUUGCCAUCAUUAAGUUGGGCACUCUAAGUUGACUGCCGGUGACAAACCGGAGGAAGGUGGGGAUGACGUCAAAUCAUCAUGCCCCUUAUGAUUUGGGCUACACACGUGCUACAAUGGACAAUACAAAGGGCAGCGAAACCGCGAGGUCAAGCAAAUCCCAUAAAGUUGUUCUCAGUUCGGAUUGUAGUCUGCAACUCGACUAUAUGAAGCUGGAAUCGCUAGUAAUCGUAGAUCAGCAUGCUACGGUGAAUACGUUCCCGGGCCUUGUACACACCG
rnacentral:rRNA from 1 species